UGGCCAGCCUGGGGCUGGGGCUCUGAAGCACAGGCUAUAGGCUGAAGCCUGAUGUCCCUUGUCCCUUCAUCAGCGGGAGCCUAACAGCAGCAUGUGUCGCAGCUGCAAGUCAGAAGUCAAGACUGGGUGCUCAUGGGUAUGAAGAACUUGUGUUCCGAGGUGAAGAAGAAGAGCCGUCUCAGGCUGCAGUGGUGGAGUAGGAGCUAGCCUUACAGGGCGCUGGCUGUCGUCUGAGUGUCCCAGCCGAGUGCUGAGUGCGGUGGUAUCCUUCAGAACUCCUCGCUCCCUGCCUGACUGUGCCGUCUCCCGCUGUGCUGGUCAGACAAGCCGUUGGCAUUCUCCCAGAGACGGCUGAUUGUUAUGAAAACCUUUGCCACAUAAACAGAAACAAGGCACGGACUCUUGCAGAAAAGAGUGCCAGCAAAUGCCAGCAACUUUUCUCUUCUAACCUCUGGAACACAAUUGCAUCAGCUCAGCCGUGUGACUGGGAAGAAAUACCAGCCUGAAGACCAUCUGGUGCCCGUGUUGACUAGAGGCAUUGGAUUCCUUGGAGCUGGAGUUACGGUCGGCUGUGAGCCAACAGAUAGGGGUACUAGCCACCUAAUGGGAUCCUCUGCAGAAAGGGCAUACUGUUAACUUUC